CGUGACGUCAUGACGUAACAGGAAUCUGCCGCUCCGCCCGUGCACUGAAAUCCGAGAGCCGAAUGGCUCACAGGGCGACACCUAAUAAAUGAACUUCAACUUGAAAUGAACCUGAGCGCGAUGACGUCACCACGCAGCGGCGCUCCAACCAAACUGAGCGCGAUGACGUCACCACGCAAGGGGCCUCCAAUCAACCCGAGCACGACGUCACCACGCAGCGGCGCUCCAACCAACCUGAGCGCGAUGACGUCACCACGCAGGGGCCUCUCAUCCACCCGAGCGCGUUGACGUCACCACGCAGCAUCGUUCCAACCAACCUGAGCGCGAUGACGUCACCACGCAGCAUCGCUCCAACCAACCUGAGCGCGAUGACGUCACCUCGCAGCAUCGCUCCAACCAACCUGAGCGCGAUGACGUCACCACGCAGCAUCGCUCCAACCAACCUGAGCGUGAUGACGUCACCACGCAGCAUCGCUCCAACCAACCUGAGCGUGAUGACGUCACCACGCAGCAUCGCUCCAACCAACCUGAGUGUGAUGACGUCACCACGCAGCGGCGCUCCAAUCAACCUGAGCGUGAUGACGUCACCACGCAGCGGCGCUCAUCAACCUGAGCGCGAUGACGUCACCAUUCAACGGAGCUCCAACCAACUUAUUUGAAAAUCCGUGAAGAAAUAAAGAAUUGCAGUGCAAA